UACGGGGGGAGCAAGCGUUGUUCGGAUUUACUGGGCGUAAAGGGCGCGUAGGCGGUCAGCACAAGUCAGUUGUGAAAUCUCCGGGCUUAACUCGGAAAGGUCAACUGAUACUGUGCGACUAGAGUGCAGAAGGGGCAACUGGAAUUCUCGGUGUAGCGGUGAAAUGCGUAGAUAUCGAGAGGAACACCUGCGGCGAAGGCGAGUCCCUGGACAAUACCUGACACUGAGGCACGAAAGCUAGGGGAGCAAACAGG
rnacentral:rRNA from 1 species